GCCCGGGUGGCGGAAUUGGUAGACGCGGUGGUCUCAAACACCACUGGUGGCAACACCUUGCCGGUUCGAGUCCGGCCCCGGGUA
rnacentral:tRNA from 1 species